GAUGAACGCUGGCGGCGUGCCUAAUACAUGCAAGUCGAGCGAACAGAUGAGGAGCUUGCUCCUCUGACGUUAGCGGCGGACGGGUGAGUAACACGUGGAUAACCUACCUAUAAGACUGGGAUAACUUCGGGAAACCGGAGCUAAUACCGGAUAAUAUAUUGAACCGCAUGGUUCAAUAGUGAAAGACGGUUUUGCUGUCACUUAUAGAUGGAUCCGCGCCGCAUUAGCUAGUUGGUAAGGUAACGGCUUACCAAGGCAACGAUGCGUAGCCGACCUGAGAGGGUGAUCGGCCACACUGGAACUGAGCCACGGUCCAGACUCCUACGGGAGGCAGCAGUAGGGAAUCUUCCGCAAUGGGCGAAAGCUUGACGGAGCAACGCCGCGUGAGUGAUGAAGGUCUUCGGAUCGUAAAACUCUGUUAUUAGGGAAGAACAAAUGUGUAAGUAACUAUGCACGUCUUGACGGUACCUAAUCAGAAAGCCACGGCUAACUACGUG
rnacentral:rRNA from 1 species